GACGGUGCAAAAUAGCAGGUUUCUUUCAGCUCUUGCUGUGCCGCUUGCUCUGCCUCAUCCCCUCAGCCUGCGUUCAGCCCUGGAGGAGGUGUUUUGUGCCCGGAGCACGUCCCCAAAGCCAUCAGAGCCCAAAGCAGGCUCCUGGGCAACCUCCUCCUAGAAAACUGUGGCCAGGGGAGAAAACGGGUGCGGGACGCUCACGGAGGCGCCUGCUCCUCCUCUUCCUUUCUCUUCUCUCGCCCUCGUGUGAGUUUUGCGCCUCCGCUGCGCGGUGCCCAGGGCGCAGCUCUCAUCCAGCUGCUGCAGGAGGAGCAGAGGAAGCUCUCAGGUGAUAAAAGCUGCGCACGAGGCUCUUGCCACAGGGCUACCUGGCGUCAUCCUCACCUGGCGAGCUGCUGCUGGACCUUGGCUCCCCGCGCAGGGAGGCGAUGCCCCGGGGGCAACGGUCUGGGGGGAGCGCCAGCGGAGCAGGGCGCUGGCACCGAGCUGCGGCAGCGCCACGUGGCCUGCUCGGGUCCAAAGGUGGGGCAGGACGCUGUCUCACCUCACAAACUCGGCGAGGGGAGAGGGAAUUGGGGUUUGGGAAGUGCCUUUCAGAGCUGCCACACCCCAAAAUCCUUCUGGGGCCGUGUCUAGCGGCAGCGGUGCGGGGGCGGCGGGCAGCAGCGCGCUCGGUGGCGGCUCUCGUGAGAGGCUCUUUGUCUCCUUACCUGCGUGGGCGCUGAAACGAAGCCCUUGUGGUUCUCACGUGUCUGCAGGGCUGAGGCCGGGGAGCAGCUGGAAGGGAGCACCAGUCCCGUGCGGUGUCCUCUGCCCCCAAAAAAGAGGGUGCCCCCUCUCCCAGGAGGAAAUCCUUUUCCCCGCAGCCUCCAAACAGGGCUGCAGAUGUGGCGCUGCGGGAAGCAGGUGGCUGGCGGCUGUCCUGGCAGCCUCGCAGAGGCUCGUCUGGAAAUACGAGCCCUAAAAAGAUCUCCGCGGGGCUUGCUCUGGCGAGCAGGCUCUGCAGAACAACACCGCAGCUGGCGGGGAGAUUUUUGAUGGUAGCGACCUGGAUGGGAGGCUUGAGGCUACAAAAAGGCUGGUCCCCGCCGCCCCUGGGCAAACUACUUGUCUUCUCCUGCAGGGCCCUUCCUGGGAAGGGUGCGGAGGAGGAGAAGCCUUUGAGCCCUGUUCCUGAAUCACUUAACUCCUUCCCCAAGGGCUCCCUAAUUGCUCUGAGGCUCCCGCGUGUGCCUGCCUUUAAACAUCUCCUUCCCAAGGCGCCGCUUGCACAGGGAGCCGUAAGCUCAGCAUCCUCCUGGCCUUCACCACUUCCAGGUGAGCAGCUGUGAGGUGGAGCUGCUUCCUUCUUUUUCUCCUGUUCUGCAGGGAAAUUCAGGGGCUGAAACCUCUGCCCAGCUCAGAGCAUCCCUUGCCUGUCUGAAAGCCCCCUCUUGGGUGAAAACCAGGGCUGCAGGGCGGUAGGUGGCAUCGCCGUUCCCAGCCACACAUGAAGCCUUCUGUGCUCGGGGACCACUGCAGUCCUGUUCAAGGUGUGAACUGGGUGCGAGGGGUGCAGCAGGAGCCCUCCCAGCUUUGCUCAGCCGCCUGCCACCCGCAUCCCUCUGCGUCCUUCGUCCCGACAGAGAGGGACGGGACGGCUGCUGGAGCCGGGUGCCUUCCUCCUGGAUGCGUGUAACAGAGGGGUGGGAAAGCAGAGCUGCUUCUUAGUAGUGUUUUGCUCUUCAGGUUGCCUUUAAAGCAAAUGAAACCAAAAGCUCUGUCUUUUACUUUGUGUUUUUGCUCCAAAUAUCUGAGAUAUUCGCGUGCGCCUUCCUGCUGAGCCUGCUGGGAUGGCCGGGUGCAUCUUGUGCAUCUCGUCCCGAGUCGUGGCUGCGGGGACGCAGAGGGAGGUGAUGGCAGGGCAGAGGGCUUGCAGCUUCCCAGGGAGGCCCAAACUCUGCCGUGAGAAGCUUUCCCUUCUGCUGUGGGGUAGGAGAAACCCAAGGGAGGGUCAGCCCAUCUCGGGUUUUCUUCGUGGCACUGAAAUCCUGCUGCUUUGUUCGUUGCUGCGUGUCAGAUCGUGGCUGCGAGGAGCUCCAUCCAAAAAGUCACUGCCUGGUUCUCGUAGUUGUGAACCUCCUCUAGCCCUCGUUCCUCCUCUCUGCAAACAGAGCCGGAGGGUUAUGGGUUUUUUUGGG